CAAGAGCGUAUGUAAAAGUUGUUGCAGUUAAAAAGCUCGUAGUUGAACCUUGGGUUUGGUUGGCCGGUCCGCUUUUUUGCGAGUACUGGAUUCAACCGAGCCUUUCCUUCUGGCUAACCAGUCGUUUCGGCGGCUGGCGAACCAGGAUUUUUACUUUGAGAAAAUUAGAGUGUUCAAAGCAGGCAUUAGCUUGAAUAUAUUAGCAUGGAAUAAUAGAAUAGGACGUUAUGGUUCUAUUUUGUUGGUCUCUAGGACCAUCGUAAUGAUUAAUAGGGACGGUCGGGGGCAUCAGUAUUCAGUUGUCAGAGGUGAAAUUCUUGGAUUUACUGAAGACUAACUACUGCGAAAGCAUUUGCCAAGGACGUUUUCAUUAA
rnacentral:rRNA from 1 species